GAACAUUCUAUUAUCACUCUCAUUUGAGAGAGGUUCAUUUACACUUCGAAAAACAUCUUUCAAGGCUGAUCAUCUCAUGACGAACCGUGAGCAGGUAUAAAAACUUGCACAACUAGUGAAAAUUGAAGUUAAAUUAAAACAUAUUGUUUUAUGAAAGCGCCACAAGAACAUUAGAAUACAACAUGGUGGUGAUAAUUCGACUUACGCUCCCAACUGCAGUGAUUUUAUGGUGCUUUAUUUACAUUUUGUGGAAAACGCUAACGACAUAUUAUCAGUGAUCAGCAAAAAUGGGCAAAAGCAGCUCUAAACCAAAAAUAACCACGAGUGGCACCAACAUAGAAAUAAACAAUGUACUCGAACAACACCAAGAAUUACAUGAGAGCCACGAAUUCAAGCUAUGGUAAAAUCUUGUGCUAGUAUCGAUACAAGUGUUGGUUUUGUGUAAUAAAGAAUUAAAACUACAAAGCCGCAGAAACGCUUUGAAAGCGACAUGGAGCGGCCUAGGGAGGAUAACGACAACGAGAAGUAUCAACAUUUCAACACUGAUGCCGUAAGCAAACGACUUGUUCAUCGACGUUAACGUCUAUGUUCAGUUCAACAGGUGAGCCAGUGAUCGCCUUCGAGUUGAAAAGCAAAGUUCUCCCAUGACAUUAAGUUAACGCUAUAAUUUUUAUGCUUUAUCGUUAACUAAUUUGUAAUUAUAACUGUAAUUAUAACGAGACAAAAAUUUCGAAGUUAUGUUUUGUGGUAGAUACGAAUCGCCAAUAUUAAGUUUAAUUUUAGUGAUUAUUAAAAUUUUGGGCGAAUUUCCAAUAUCUAGUUCAAGUGGUGUAAAUGUGUAAAACUUAUUUAUAGUUUAUAAAAUAAACCAAAUUCAAUUUAUAAAUUUAGAAGAAGUAAGGAAUUAUUUGAAACUGAAAAUAGCAGAAUUGAACUCUAUUUUGUCAAAUUUUUCAAAAGCAGGUUAAAGGUCGGCUAAAGGGUGCUGCUCGUCAGGUCAUUGCUGAAACCAACGACUUAAAAUACAUUUUAAACGCAGUAAAACAACACUGCGAACCGAAAAUAACUUCUGAUAAUAUUAUUGUCAAACUCAAAGCCGUGAAACAGAAAGAAUCAGCGGAAUCGUUUUGUAAUGAAGCGUCAGGGUACAAAUCCCCGUAGAUAGAGCAAAUAUUAUGGCAACCAAAAAGGGCGUGGAUGCACUUAUUGAUGGAACCAGAAACAACGAUACUAAAAUUAUCUUAAAAGCUGGGACCUUACGAAGAUUACUGAUGCAGUACAAAAACUAAUGGAAAACGAUAAACCCAUCCCAGCACAAAUUCGAACGGAAGGUGUUGCGUACCAUCUACGGCGGAGUGCAGAUGGAAGACGGGACUUGGAGAAGGCGAAUGAACCACGAGCUGCAUCAGCUGCUGGGAGAACCAACCAUCGUCCAUACCGCGAAAAUCGGGAGGCUACGGUGGACGGGUCACGUCAUCAGGAUGUCGGAUAGCAACCCGACUAAAAUGGUUCUCGAGAGUCAUCCGACCGGUACAAGAAGACGUGGAGCGCAGCGAGCUAGGUGGGUCGACCAAGUGGAGGACGAUCUGCGGACCCUACGCAGAGUGCGGAACUGGAGACAAACAGCCAUGGACCGAGUGGAAUGGAGGCGGCUACUAUGUACAGCAGAGGCCACCCCGGCCUUAGCCUGACCGGUAAGGUAAGGUAUCCCAGCACAAAUGUUCACAAUUAGUAGUACUCAUCAAAACAGCCGUAUCCAAAAAAGGUUUUCACAGGAAUAAUUUUAAUCGAGGAAACUACAGCGGUUAUCGUGGAAAUUUCCAUGGAAGAGCAAAUUAUAAUGGACGAAGACCUUACCUUCAGUGCCUUCUCCAAAAGUCACACGUUACAUGGCGAACCGUCGACAGUCGUGAUGGUAAUCGGUUGAAUUUUAUAAGUGCAAAUUGAAUUGUGAGCUACUGAGCUAAGUGAAACCCACAGUUCAAGUGCAAGUGUUAAUAAUUGUGAUAAAACAACCAAACAAGCACCACUGAAAAUGUCGUGGUUAUUUGAUGAUAUAUACGUGCAGCAGUCGAUAAAUACUGUGGAAAACAAAAUUAUCGCCGGUGUAGCAGUGAGACUAUUAGCUUUAGCCGUAGUGUACGGAGCAUUACGACCCCAUGGCAAAUUUAUAAAAGCCAAAAUAGAGCGCACCACGCGUAAAGAAGUGCGAUUGAAGAAUUCGGUGGUACAAUUUGUUCACGAAGCUGACGAAUGUGCCUAGAUAAAAACAAUCCUGAACUAAGGAGGAUAGAAGUGUUUCAAAAAAGAACUUUCCAGCAUCAAGCUGAACAGUGUUUAAAAAAGGGUAACUAUCCAAAAGCAGAAUGCAGUGUGCAGUAGCAGUAGCGAUCCAUAUUUAGCAGCGGAAACUUCAACUCCAAAUAGUCCAGUAUCCCAAUAACAACCACAUUCGGGACAAUAGUGUUGUUUUCGAUGUUAUAAAAAAUUAACAUUUUUUUCAAAACAUAUCGUGAUGCAAGAUGAAUCGUCAUUCUCGUUCGAUAGAUUAGAAGAUAUGGAGUUGUAAUAUGAAAAGCAAUGUAGAACUAAAAUUUGGAAUAAACGACAGAUUUAUUACAACCAUCCAAGAGAAUUUUGGAAUAUUCCAAAAGACUAAAAUCGUGUCUUUACAUGGCGACCGUGACAGGACCGGUACCUGAAAGGAAGUUAAUUUAUUGCGUUACCGACGAUUAGCAUCCGUGAGUUAAAAAAAAAGUGAAAAGAGAGAAAUGGGAAAAACUUCCUAAAAACCUACAGUGGUGCAUCACGCAGACCCUCAGAUUAGAAUACUGGCGUACUGGCAUGAAGAGCUUCAAUGAAAGAAUCUCCAAUGAAGGUGAUGCUUAUGAUCAGAUAACAAUUUUUCUAGAAAAUCAUCAGCAGUAUCACGAAGAACACGCUUUAAAGUUGUGGGUGAUUCUGGCAAUGGUGACUUUACAAACGGUUAUUGUGGCGUACAAAGUGAUAAAAAAGAACAAUCGAUAAAAUGCACUAAAAGUGGCACUAGACCUGAAAACGUGUAAACAAUUGAGAAAUUCUGACUAAAGGGAAUAACAGCAGAAUAUAAGCUACACACAGGAUAUUGUUUGCGUGGGAACCUAAAAAAUAGUACUAAAAAUCGUAAACAGCAUGAUUUGUGCGAAAACCUGAAAAAAAUACUAAAAAUGGUAAACAGCAAUGGUUUGUGCGCGAAUAGCUGAAACAGAAAAAAGUUGUCUAACGAAAUCGGUAACAUGAGCUCAGGCUGUAUUACAGUCGUUGAAAGCGGACCGGAUGUGAUGAGAGGUAAUUACCAAGAACUUAAAAAUAUUUACAGUGACAUUAAAUCAGAAGUCUUUAAGUCGUUGUUCGCGCACAACGCGAACGGUGUGCAGCGUUUCAAACCUGGUGUGUACAACCGAGAGAAUUGCCCUCGUCAUCUAGUGUCCGUGAUCGGACUUUUUUUUUGUUCUUCGCCUCGCUGGCUAUUGGCAGAAGCGCGAAAAGGGCGCCAACCAAUCAGCGUGUGACACUUGGCGCGUCGGUCGGCUGGCAUGUCGAUGGAGAGCUCAUGUCGGAUUUGAUGGUAGUCCACACAAUCAACCGCGACAAAUGCUGUAAGUGGAUUAAAUUUUAUUCGGAUCUCCUCUCAAAGAAGAUCGCGGCCGGGGACUCCGGGAGAACGGAUCGUCAAAUUAUGGAAUACCAGGACUACGAUACCUAUUUGAACGCAACACCGAGCGCUGCGAUAUCUCGAUGGCGGCGGGCCACGCACUUCAGUUCUGGUCCUGGUAUUCCGGCGCCGAAGCUGUGGAAAAAGACAAAGUGUUUGCUACGUACCAUGGAGUGUUCAGCUACGCAGAGAUUAAUGGGGAGAAAGUACUCCCUGAAACCCUCUGCCCUCAGCCGGGAGAUGAGGCCAGUAGUUCUGCUAGCCUUGCCAACCUAAAGAAUGUGGCCUCCGGAAAAUCGGCUGCUGUUAUCCCCCCAGCAUCCUGGGAAUUUUUGAGCAAGAAAGGGAGCGUUCCGACGGCGUCGGCUCAGGUCGAAGUCCGCCAGGUAGUCCACACAAUCAACCGCGACGAAUGCUGUAAGUGGAUUAAAUUUUAUUCGGAUCUCCUCUCAAAGAAGAUCGCGGCCGGGGACUGUGGGAGAACGGAUCGUCAAAAUAUGGCUAUGGCCAUUAAUCACACUGCCUUCGUUAUGGGAAAUUGCUUACGGCUCAUGACAAAAAAAGAAUUCGAUGUCGCUAACCAUAUUCAACGAACCACCAAAGAGCGACUUCACAACCUAUUUGGGCCAUCUAGCACAGAAAUGCUUGCUGCAGAGGUCUUUGCUCCGCCACACUACCGAUUCACGCUUUUGAGCUUUUCAGCUUUUAAAGGAUAUAUAACGCUGGCCAAGCAACUGGCUAUUCUAUUCAUAGAAGGGUUUACCUCUUCUCCCAGUGAAUCUGUCUCCGGCUUCUGAAAGGCCGCAUGUGUACUGUCUCUAUCAUAUACAGGAUUGGGAGCCAUAGGUUGGUUCGUCAAAGCACAUGAGAAAUUCCUCAUGUCAGGAAAAGAUUUUCUCAAGAAGAUCUCGAUCCCUGCUUUAGGCCCUUUCAUCGUCGAAUACGUCCACUUGGCAGAACGGCCUAAUAAGAAGUGGAUUUUUUGUAGGCUCUUAAGCGACACUGCUCUCGCGAACCUAUCUUCCACGGCGAUGCCGAUCGCUACCUGCUUGUUUGUGGCCUUAUCGGCUUCAAACACCUCUCUGACCGACGAGCUCUGGGACAUAGUAUCAUUGUCCAGAAUCUCAAAGAUCGACAUGGCAACGGGUUUUGCCAUGGCCGAGAUCUUUUUAAGGACCCGAACAGAAGAUGGUUGGGCGGAAUCCUUAGAUGCACAAUCCAACGCCUUCCAGCAGAAACUCAAGGCCGAAGGAAUGAACUUCCUGACCAAUGCAAGAAAAGCUUUGCUUGACAAGGCCAAGGCUGCAACUACCGGUGUGUUGCAUCAGCAAUUCUGCCCUUAGCUACAAGAAAUAGAACGGAUGCACAUAGCCAGGUCAGCAAGUCCGGCAGCCACCGAUGUCACCAAGUGGACGGACCCAUCGACGGACCUAAGGAAAACACCUCAACAAGUUUAUGCCAAGCAACAGCGACACGGCUAUCAUUUCCUCUAUUUUUAAUAAUAAGCAUUUUUUUGGUAGGUUUCGUUUAACUUGAAUAUCAAUAAAGAUUAUUUACCUUUUCGGACGUCGUAACGAGUAGUCUAAACUUUUUAUAAAACCUGGACUGGGUGAAUUAUCGCUUUUCUUUUAGUUUCUCAGUUUGAUUAGUAACAAUAACCAUCUAGCGCAGCCCAAAUAAAGACUAAGUUCAAAGUUUAUUCCAAGGUGUAAUCAGUAAUCCGAAUUCCGGACUAAGCUCAAUCAAGUGGAAAUAUCUCUCACUUGAUCGGAGAACCCAGUAACCCCUGCCAGAGACAUUUUGGUGGCUACAGAGAGGACUUUGGAGGGUGUCUUGUCAACCGUCGAGUGGAAAACGAUCUCCCUAACCGGAGACCUAAGUAGCACAAGCCGAUUUUUGAGCGGGACAUCCCGGAGCAUUGAACAUCUAGUCAGUCGAAAUUUGACUGUGGAAAUAAAUCCAAGUAAAGCCAGUGAGGAGGUCAUAAAGUGAAAAAGUGGGCCCAGUGCCAUAAUAUUAACAGAAACACUCUGGAGGACGAGAUAAGAUACUUGGUAGCAUGGUGAGCUUAUACUUAAUUGGUAACAGUCCAAUUCAUUAUAAUCUCUUUUUCCUUUGUCAGUAAAUCUUUUUGGAGGUUCACAAAGUCAGAAUGGGUAACGACCCUAUGACAAGUACUUCCAUAGCAGCGAAACGCAUUCAACGAUCGCCGCCCGUGGUCAGCACAAUUUGUGUCGCCACCCGGGCAAUCACCUAUCAGCAGCGUCAUCAACAAAAAUGCCCCCAGUAAACAGGCAAGGAAGCCUAGCUGGGUGGCGCAGCCUAGAUCGAUCGUCAUUAUCGACCAAGCAACAAACCGUACAGUAACUUCAAAAUGUGGCCCUUCAGAGAAGACGAAAGCAACAACGUUCAACAUAUAUUUUGGCAGCAUCACGUACCACGACGUGAUAUCUUACUCAAUGGAUGGCGGCUUCAUCCUGGUGGCGGUCAUCAUCAUCAUCGUGUGGCGUUGGCGACGCAACAUGAGCCGCAUCCGGUCGCUGGAGGCAGCGACCAGGCGAAAUAACUUGGGCGUCUGAGCGGGCGUCAUCCGACGCCGCGUCAAACGCUAAGUCAGCAGUUUAGGUGCUCCAGCCCGGAGCGAGACCUGCAGCGAUGCACCCGGCACCAAAGUGAAUUUGAACAAACUCUCAGGUAUCAGUAGGUCGGCUCUAGAGGCACGUUCUCCUCCAUUCGGGAAAUUUGUGCCACAAACUCUGUCAAGAGAAAAGCAUAAUACAUUUAUUCAGUUUCCAACAGUUGACCCGUGAUGUCGACUACUCAAUCGAAAGAAAAUCCCGAUAUUUUCGCGUUCGAGGUUUCUGUCCAAGUCGGCAUGUCGCGGUUUCUUUAAAGUAAGUGUUUAGCUCAGGAGCAAGUGCAAAAAAAGAAAGAAAAUGUUUUGCGCCCUCCCACUUUUGAUUUUGCAAAAUAAGUGCGGAUGAUGUUGACGUGGAAGCUACUCCAGCGAAAAGGGCCAAAAUCAUUCUUGUAAAUGAAGACAGAACCGAAGCGGUACCAAGCGGACAAGAAAUUAGACCUGGUGGCUCGGAAGCUCAUUCAUCACCUCCACGAAGCGUUCUUGAGGGCCUUCGACCUCAAACCUCAAGACCGGCUGGACCUGGAUACCACGACUUUGUAAGUGUCUUUGACUUUGUACCACGACUUUCGUGUAAGUUCUUUCUUUUCGGUCACAAAGCCUUCUCCGGCACCAUGCCAAGAUUUGGUGACCUUGAACAGUGAGCCCGAGUGAAAACCCAAAAGUGUCUAACGAUUUUAGACCGGUGAAAAGUGUAACGAUUUUAGAAAAGUUACUAAGUGUGAGUCAGUUCAGUAAAGAACUUUCAUGUUCAGUGCCAUAAUUAUGAGCUGGUUUUCAGACACCAUUAUCAACGAGACUGAAGUAAGCCUAAGCACGACGGAGGCGAGAAUCAUCGCCGGCAACAUCGUCUUUAUUGCACUCGCGAAAGCAAAAAUGCAGCAGACGGCGCAGCGAGAAAUUCGCUUAAACAACGUGAACAGCCAACAGUAAGGAAAUCCGUGAAAUCAACUGAAGAUCUAGUGUUAAAGUGCAAAUGCACAAAGAAAAAAAAAAAUACAAAUCGAUAUCAACUGCAGGCGAGACCACUGCCGAUAACCAUCGGCAGGCGGGUUUGAAGGACGAAAUAGUAGUGGAGGAUGCGAUUCGACGACGAGAGUACCUACCAGGUCGCCGAUGUUCAAAGCAAAAAAAAAACGUAAGUGGAGUGCAAUAAUUUUAGUACCCUAAUUAAUGGAAGCAAUAGAGGCCAACAUCGAACAUUUGAGGAAAAUAGAAAACAAUUUCAAAAAGGUCCCCAAUAAAAGCUAUUCAAAACCAUUUCUAAAUCAAAAGUUAGACCGAGGUAGAGAGUUAAGGAACAUAAUUGUAGACGAUCUUGCUACCCUAGAGGAUGUUUUAUCUCAAAAAUACGUAGAGAGCUUAUAGUAAACAUUUUUUAAUACAUAAAAGACAGCAAACUGCUAAGAUUAAUAAUUCAAUAACCAACUUGCAUCAUCAGUAUGAAUAUAAAAAUUCUACUUCUCAUUUUAUUUAAAAAGGGUGCAAGACAAAAGUAUGAUAGUAUCAUUAUCAUUAUUAAUCAAAAACUAGAAUUUGCUGCAAAUUCUAUUUCAAGUAUAAAACUUGUAGCUUUAGCAAUUCUUUUUUUAUUUGAAACUAAAAUCUAAACUGAUAAAGAAAAACAUGGCAACGCAACUAGAUUUGAUUAAGGUUAUCUCAACCUUAGUGCCCCAGUAUGAAGGAGUAAGUGGAAAACUAACAUGUGUUCUGGAUGCAUUACGUGCAGGUAACUUUUUAAUAACAGAUGCAACCACACAAAUGAGCAUUCGAGUAAUUUUAGCAAGGUUUUCAGACAAAGGCAGAAAUGCAAAAGGACAGAGUCCACGAACUGCUCAAGCAAUAAUUGACGCCCUUGAACAAAGAUGCAAAUCUACAGAAACACCUGACAUAAUCAUAGCUAAUUGAUCGCCAUGAAACAGCAAGAAGAAAUAUCAAAAUUUACUGAAUGUGUAGAAAAAAAUACUACACAGCUGGAGAACGCUUAUACUAGUGACAAUAUUCCAGCCGAAACAGCUGCAAAAAUGGUCGUCUCAGCAGGAGCCACAUCGAUUUUGGUAUUGAGCAUGCCGUUAAGCAUACGCAUAUUACAUGGCGACCGUGACAGAGUGAACUAAUUUGUGAU